CGAACUCUGACGGGGUUGGGCGGUGGCUGCACAGCCUGGAAAUCCCCCUGAGCCCAGUCCUGAGACCCAGCACACAAGCAGCCCAGCACUUUUCUUUCUCACGAGUCUCCCUUUCCGCCAGCUGCUGGCCGGUCCCAGGGAUCUCACUGCCAUCGGGAGCUGCUGAGUGGUCAAGUGCACGUGAGUGACGUGGCCUGGAAGGCAGGAAGGAUGGCCCUACCCGGGCUGUCACGUGGCCUUCAGCACAGCCGAUGCCUUUACUCCCUUACUGGCGAGGAUGUGCAGCUGAGAGGGACCGUGACCUUCCCCGGGGCCUACAGCCCCAAAUGGCGGGCGAGGCGCUCAAUUCCAGGCGUGUCUGUGGGGUGCCCUCCCCGUGUGCAGGGGCCGCCAACCCUGUGUGAAUGUGAUCAUCACGAAGGGGACUGGUGAGAAGGCUGAGAAGCCUGGGCGCUGGUGGCCAUGAGCUCCUAAACUGUAAAUACAAAUAAUGUCCAGAGGGUUACAGUGUGCAUAGCGUAGAGGUGACAGUCCCAAUGUGUUGUAAUCUGAUCAAAUCACACCUGAGCUCUUCCGUCAGCAACGGGCACAAAGACACAGUUCUGGAGGCUGGUAUGUCGAGAUCAAGACUCCACGAGGUUUGGUGUCUGGUGAGGGCCCCCAUCUCUGCUUCUUCCAAAACAGCGCCUUGUGGCUGUGACCUCUGUGGCACAGGAGUGCUGUGUCCUCAUGGGGCAGAAAGGAUGGGAGGGUGGAAGCGGGCCAAACUCCUCCCGCCGAGCCCUUGGCAGCGGCAUCAACCUAUUCACGGGGCAGACCCCGGGAGACAAACACCUCCCAAGAGGCCCUGACUCCCAGCACGGUCACCCUGGAGAUUACGUUUCCAACACAUUCAGUCCGCAGCUGGACGUUUCUCCUUUGAAGUUUUCUUGAUUAGUGAAAAUAAAAUGGACUGAAAAUGGA